rnacentral:lncRNA from 1 species
GUAAGUACCUAGGAGUGGGAGUACUGGGUUGAAGGGUAAGUGUAUGGCAACUUUAGAAGAAACCACCAAAAUGCUUCCAAAUUGGUUGUACCAUUUUGCCCUCUUGUCUGCAACGGAUGAGAAUUUCAGCAGCUCUGCAACCUUGGUGCUUGCCGAUGUCAGCCUUCUUUGGCCACUCGAGUGGACGGACAAUGGUGUGGCCGUGUCUCACUGUGGCUUUGUGUUUCCCUCAUGAAGAUGAUGGUCGAGCAUCCUUCUUGUACUUAUUUGCCAUCUGUGUAUCUCCUUCUGGGAAGCUUCUGUUGUUUGCAGUUUUAUUACACGGUUGAAUGAGUUCUUUACCUGUUCUGGAUAGAAGUCCUUUAUCAGAUAUGUGUUUUCAUAACCUCUCAGUCUGGGGCUUGCCUUUCGUUUUCUUAAUGGAGUCUCCCAGAAAAUUAAUUUUCUUCAGGUUUGAGGUGCAAUUUACACAGCACCCUCUUUAGGUGUAGAGGUCUCUGAAUUCUACCACCCAAUCAAGACAUGGAAUAUCGCCAUCUCUGUCCCCACAUUCCCCCACGCUCUCUUCUCCUCUGGCAGGUCUGGUUCUGCAGCUCUUUAGCAAGCUCUGGGUGCUUUUAUGUUGCGAAUUCUCUUUACCGUGUGGGAUGCGAAACGCAUCUGGGUCAUCUUUGCACCGUGACUCAUAAAUUCCAGGGUAACAGGAAAAGGCCCAUUAAACAUCCCGUUACACACAGCUCUAAUAAAACCGGUAAUAAUAACACCAAAACGCUCAUCUAGCGCUUGCCAGGGACCACUCUCAUUCUCCACUUACGCUAACUCAUGUGACCUCACGUGCAGCCCGCCCCGGGAGGCACGAUCACGAUCACUGCCCGCCUUCCGGCUGCGGCACUGAGGCCCAGAAGAGGUGGACCGCCUCCGCCCUCGGGGCCGCCUGCCGCGGAGGACAGGCCGGGGAGACGCGGCCCGCAGAGCCGUGCGCUCGGCCGCCACUCAAGACGAACAGGGUCCGCCCGUGGCCGGGAGGGAGGCGCGGGCCCACGACCCGGAGCCCCGGCGCCCGCUCACCCCCGGCCGGUCCGGGGCACCCAGCGUGGGCGCUCGGGAGGCCGGCGCGCAGGCCGGCAGAGGGAGCCGGGCCCACGCGCCCCACCCGGGCCGCGCCGCCGCCCCAGGGACCGAGGCGCGUGCCAGGGCGGGCUGCGCAUGCGCGUGCGCACGGCGGGCGCGGCGCGGCGUGUGCACGCGAGCCGGGGGCGGGCGGCGGCCGGGGGCGCAUGCGCACCGGGGCGCCGAGGCUGGAGGCGUGCCCGGCUCAGGAGAGCGGUGCGGUCGGCCCAGUCUGCUUCUCGCUGGCGGGCGCCGUAAGCAUCAGCGUCCCCGCAAGUUCCCACUUCGGCUGCGGGAAGCAGAGUGUGUGCAGGGAACGGAACGCUCGGCUCCGCGGCGGGGAGUUGCAGAUAGAAGGAGCUCGGUCCGCAGGAGCGCGGUGGCGGCGGUGCGGAACUGCCGGCGCCGGCCCCGGAGCCCCCCGUGGUUUCUUAGGCCUGCCGUCGCCGGCUGUGCGGGGUUUUGUUUAACUGUUGGUGAAUAAGACUUCUAGUCCGAUGGUCCGGGUCCCAGCCCUGCCCACCCCCUGGCUUUGAGCCAGGCACGUCUUAUUCCUGAGCUCUUUAUUCCCAUUGUUACAGCGGGCAGGGUGCGCCGCUGUUCAACACUGCACUUGUUAAAUCGAAGGAAACAGCCUGGCCUGUGGCUGACUCACGCGCGUGCUUGCAGCGGGUGCCACGGCCUGGGCCUGGCCUGGCUCACCUGCGGGGGGCCCAGUGAGGGACCAGACCUUGCAGUGAAAGGGGUAGCGUUGAAAGUGCGGUAGAGGACAGAGUGGAGGCCAGGCGUGAGUUCUGCGUGGCAGGAGGGGGAGUCCGCGCAGGUUCCACCCAGGAGAUGACCUCUAAACUGGGCCUUGAAGAUGAGGUGGCAGUGGGCCGCUCCUGGCAAAAGGGAUGCCUGAAAGCCUGCACGGGCCAUCGAUGUGUCUGGAGAGUUCUGAGAAUGGCUGCCAGACCAGUGUUGGGCCUGUGGGUAGACAGUAGGUGGGCUUGGAGGGGGACAGGGGGAAAGAGUGUGGAGGACCCCCAGUGCCCCUGCAAGUGGUGAAAAGCUGCAGAGGGUCCUCAGGCAUGGAACUAACAACAGAUGUGUGUUUCAGUAAAGCGACUCUGGCAGGAACCAGAUAGGAAUUGUAUUUGUACAAAGGGGAUGUUGGAGGAAGGAAGUUAAUUUCAGCCCGGGGAGUGCAGUGGGGAUGGAGAUGGAAGCAGGAUUUAAGCAGGAUUUCAGAGAGAUUUUGGAGAUAAUCAACAGGCGUCACUGGCUACCCAUCACAGCUGAAUCUAAGAUGACUCCUAGUUCUGGAGAACCAGGGGGACUGAGUCAUUAAGACAUUUGAGUUUCUGUGAAGUGCAGACCUUGUGCCAGGUGCUCAGCAUCCGAGAUAAAAAAGACCUAGUCUCUGCCCUUAAGGCGUUUGUUGUUGAAUCCAGGAGGUGGAUGCGUAACUAGGUGAUUAUAUCUCUGUACAUGUGGUGACGAGCAUCACGUGUCCCUGCCUGAGCCUGAGGUGGGGUUGGGGCAGGGAGGGCUUCCCGAAGGAGGGAGGCCUGAGCGUCAGGGAAACUGGAAUUGCCAGGCAAUAUGAGCAUCUGAGGCACAGAAAGUGUGUGAGCAGGAAGGCCAGGCCGUUUGUGAUGUGUUUGGAGAGUUAGAAGCAGACACUGGAGUGGAGAGGAUCUCAUCGAGCCAGGUGCUGGCGUGUGAAGUGGGAGGUAGAGCUUGAGUUUUAUUCUCAAGGGUGUGGGGAGCCAUGGCAAGGCUUUACUUGCAGGAGAGCUCAUUCAGAUUUGGCUUGGGAGGGCUUAGCCUGGGUGCAUUGUAGGGAAAAGCUCAAAAGAGGAGAAGCUUGUAGGGAAGGGCGUGGCAGGAAGUGCUGGGGAGCCAGAGUCGGGGGCUGAACCUGGGCAGUUCAGCAGGGCCAGGGCAGGAGCAGGGCCAGCGUGGGGAGUACAGGAAGGAGACUGGUGGAGGGGCAGUGGAGGCGGAGUGGGGAGGGUGGGUGCAUGGGGCCUUGGGGACAUCCCAGUCAAGAUACCUAAUGGCAGUUUACUAGCUAAGGCGACUGGCAGUUGACUUAACCUUGGUAAGCUUGUCUCCUCACGUGCAACGUAGGGAUGGCAGUACCUACCUCAUAAUGCUGGGGUGAGUCACUCGACAAGAUAUUUACUUAGCACUUUCCAGUGUUCUGGGUGCCAGGGAUUCAGCUGGACUGCUGCAGUGUAAAAGACACAGGCAAUACAAGUAAAGGUAAAAAUAUAAGGCCCAAUUAGAGGUGCAGAUUUGGCUAUGGUCCACAUCAAAUCUCCCAGAAGAGCAUGGCGUGAGUGAGCAUUCCCCAGUUGCUGGGCAAGGUGGAGGCUGCAUGAUGACAGGGUGCUGGCCAGCAGGGAUUGCACUGAGAGAGGAGCUGGCUCUCGGAGUUUAAUGGUGUGGAUGCAAACUACCAGGAGUCUCAUGGGAGGAACCCAGGCCCAUGGGGCUUUGCCAGGAGCCUGCCUUCUCUCAAUAUCCACACCCUCAUGAGCUCGGUGUGACCAUCCCGUUUUUACUGAUGGUGGGAUUGAGUGAGGCGGAGCGAGGUUAGAGCGACUCGCGGCCCUGGGAAGGCCGAAGCCCCCUGACCGAGUGUGUCGCUUGCUGGUCCUGGCCUUGGAGACUCAGGCGUGCUGGGUUCCAUGCGGUGGCCUGCUCAGUGCAUCCGGCCCGGAGAGUUGGCUGGAAGCAGCGUGUGAUCUGGUUUGGUAAGUGGAUAAGGCGUGGGCACUGAUAAAGCUCUUAAGUUUAUUAGUGGGCUUUUUUAAAAAAGCUUUCCUGUGCUUUUAAAUAUUGACUCUGUUGCUUCAACCUGUUUUCCUUUGGACACGUAUGUGCCUUUGGCAUAUGAGAGUCCCCUGAGGGUGCCGGUGAAGAUGUGUGCCACGAGCCCACACUGCCUCCACAGUGGUGGCUGCCAAAACGAACAGCUGUGAAAUGACUUGUCGGGAAGGGUGUGACAGCGUGCUGGAAGAGAUUCGGCUCCCAGCCAAAUAACUUUACCACCUGAAGUCCUGGGCGGCUGUGUCGAGGGCCCUGCUGAGGCUGCCUGAGGACCCGAGCGCGUGGCCCACAGAGCCCCGCACGGUGCUCGCUGCGGACAGCGUGCUGCCCGGUCGUUGUGUGUGCGCCUCUGGGUACAUGCACAGUGUUCCCCCUGUAUGUGCAUUUAUGUGCGUAAAAGUAUAGCUACGUGCUGAAGUUUUUAUGAGUAAAAGGAGAAAAAAGGGGCCGGCCUGGUGGCGCAGCAGUGAAGUUCGCAUGUGCCACCUGGGUGCGGACAUGACACCGCUCGGCAAGCCAUGCUGUGGCAGGCGUCCCACAUAUAAAGUAGAGGAAGAUGGGCAUGGAUGUUAGGGCAUCUUCCUCAGCAAAAAGAGGAGGAUUGGCAGCAGAUGUUAGCUCAGGGCUAAUCUUCCUCAAAAAACAAAAAAAGAAGAAGAAAAAGGGUAUGAGGGGGUGGGUAGAAAAGAUGGCAGCACGCUGGUGGUAAUUGAAGCUGGAUGAUGGCCACAUGGGAGUUCCGUCUACUCUUCUCUCUGCUUCUGUGUACAUUUGAAAAUUCUAAAAUAAAAAGGUCUAAAGAUAUGUAGAGU